UCAGACAGAGAUUGCCAAAAUCGAUCAGAAAGCGACGGUAAAUGAAAAAUGUAGGAAAGAUAUUGACGUCGAUGAUUUAUUUAGGCAUUGAUUGAAAGAAAAGGAUAGCAUUCAAAGCUUCAAAUGGAGUGGGAAAAUGGAGGGCGUGGAAACGAAACAUCACGAUAGUAUCUUUUGACAUCACGCUUCAAGACUCCGAUGUCAGGAGGCUGGUGAUGUCACAGAUUUUAACCUGGCUUAAACAUGCCAAGUGUACUGGCAUCUCAGCUGUUCUUCUCCAUCAUUUGACGGAUGAGCAUGAGUGGCCUCCCCCGAUUCAAUAUUAUGAGUAAAGUCAUGGGCCAUUGAGCCAAGAGGAGAGGAAUUCACCAUGGCUUAACAAUAAAAAAACACUUUAGUACCCUUAAAGCCCUCAGAGUGAUUGUCCUUGACAACCACCUUCCAUCAAAGAUGCAUACUAUCUAGUAUACAGACUAAACCGUGCAUGGAACAAUAGAAGAGGAUGGCAAUAUUCCCCAGUAAACGCAGUGAAAGAAAAAAGACCUAUCCAUACAGAGUCGCUGAAGAAACUGAUCUUCAUGUGUCACUUGACCAACAAUUUUUCAGUAUGGGUAGAAAGGCUGUUAUGGAGAAGCACUAUCCUCGACAAAUCUCUAGCCACCUUGAACAGUUAUCUCCUUAACCAAGAAGGGAAUUGUACAGCGAGCAAGAAUCUAGGUUUAAUAAGAGACAUUUCUAGAGGUUUACUGUGUGCUCCAACAGUGCUCCAGCCAGGAUUUGAAAUGGGCAGGGUGGAGUAAAAA